CGCGCUCGUCCGUGCUGGAUCUGGCCGCCACAAUCGAGGAUCGGUGGAGGAGCACAGGUCGCGGCUUGGUUGUGGAGGAGGGAAAGGGAGCACGGGGCGGCACCAUUGCGGCUGGAGCAGGGCUUCGGUUCGAGGGUGGCGGACAUGGCUGCGUCGUGUACGUGGGGGAGAAGGACGACCGUGCACCCCGGCGUUCUCUGCGUGGUGGUAGUCAUGCGCCGUGCCACAUCAAGACUGGGUGUAGCACGGGCGGCCGUUGUGGCUGGGAGGUUAUCUGCUCAUCGUCCAUCUGGAGAGGAAGCAGAGUGACUCAUGACGUUACAUAGUCGCCUACGAGCCAAUGAUGAGCAAACGAGGCAGCGGUAAGCAAGUCCCCCAUUGGAAUCUGAAUCCUCUAAUUCUUUCCUCAAUUACUGACAUACAGACUAGUUAAUUUUGUAUGGCUGGCUGCUGAACCUGUUAUUGCAUUACCUGCAUCCAGCAACAUGGAAUUUUAUAUCCUUCAGAAUUGCAUCGUUGUCCAACAAUAUACUUCAGAUUUUCCCAUAAUUAUGGCUUAAAUGUCAUACAGUCUAAUUUGGAUACCUAGUUUGUUUUCUUGAAGCUUAUAGAUGUAGGCACAAUCUAUAUUCAGUAGGUGCUAGAUCUUCACACUUAAAGAUUCUGGAUAUAUCCUCUUCUCUGUUUUUGCUGUUUUACAACAGAAACAUUUACGCAUAUGUAAACUGCAGAAUCGUGCAGCUGUAGGCUUGCAGCAGGUUGGCGGGCGAAUGGUCAUAAAGAGAAGAUAACAGGCAUGUCGAGUGCUGUGAGUAUUCCAUUCAUUUAGACAACUACGUUUCCAAGAUCAUCAAGAGGUGUGUUGUUUUCCUUGAGAAAAUCAUCAAUUUGUUUUAGCAUUGGUCAAAUCUGUUUGUUGAUCUGAGAUUUUGUAUUCUUGCAUCACCAGAUCAUAGUGUGACAGAUGGGAGAACACACACACACCUCAAUGGAUGACAUAUUAUAAUUACGGAGACUAGUUGUAAGGAUAAUGGAGUGCAAUUUUCUGAUUCAGUGAUCUGCAGGUUUGAAGAACUAAUAUUGUGUAGAAAAUGGCAAUCGAAUUAUUUAGAUUUAAUAAAUUAGAUUUAAGGAUAAAUUAGUUGGUGCAUUUCAUUAUCAAGGACUAAUAGUAUCAAUAUACUAGGAGCAAUAUGUAGCAAACAAUUCAAAAUUUAAGGAAUGAUCCAUCUUACCCCUCAAGAAGAAGGAAUAAUCCAUUUUAAUAUGUUCCUUUAUAUAUGCGGAGAACUUCUUAGUAGUUCGUAUGUCAAGAUGUUUGGAUACUGAAUAAUGGUGCUCUUUCUAAUAAUCAGGCAGACUGUACCCAUUGCCAGUUUAUGUGUGUCUGUAAUUUUUUUGUGGUAUAUCGAGCAAUUGUCCUUGAAAAAUUGAAAUAACUGAGAUAUCCACAGAAAUGAAAGCUGCAGCCUGCAGCGAUAUGGUUCCUGUUAACAAUCGUAUAUUGCUGUGUUAGUUAGAGCUAACAAAUUCAGUACUUAUCCGUGUAUAGACUUAUCAGUACUUAUCCGUGUAUAGACUUAUCCUCUUGUUAGGAUCCUGUAUUCUGUUGUAUCUACAGAUGCGAUCACGCAUUGUCUAUUAUAAAUACACGGCCAACCCUACGGGGAUAAUCACGGCAAAUCAAUCUUUCUGACUUGGUAUACAGAGCGAAAGAUCCAAUCUCACUUCCUCCACCAUGACUGGCACCAACCCUGCUGCUUCCCUCUCCGGCACCGCCGGCACCCUCACCACCCUCAACGCCGGCACCCUGUCCGCCGGUUCCUCCACUUCCGCUCCGAUCUCGGUCACCUCGCUCGGUAGCCUGAUCACUCUGCGCCUUACGCGCGAUAACUUCCUGCUAUGGAAGACCCAAGCCGUCCCCGCCCUCGCUGCAAACGGCCUGUUCGGCUAUGUUGCCGGCACCGCCGCAGCCCCGCCGCACACCAUCAAGGAAGGAACCGGUGAUGCGGCUGUUGAUGUGGCCAAUCCGGAGUUUCUUCGCUGGUACCAGCAGGACCAGCUCGUCAUGAUCGCCCUCCUCGGCUCCAUGACCGAGGACAUCCUCGGGCAGAUGACCCAGCUGACGACCUCCGCCGCUGUUUGGACUGCACUGCACGACAUGUUCGCCUCGCAGAAUCGUGCCCGCAUCAUGCAGCUCAGGUAUCAACUUUCCAACCUGAAGAAGAAGGACCUCUCUGCCUCUGACUACUACCGCAAGAUGAAGGGGUUCGCUGAUGCGAUGGCGUCCAUUGGCAAGCCCCUCACUGACGAUGAAGUGCUCGGCUACAUGCUCGCUGGGUUGGGCUCCGAGUUCGAGCCACUCAUCGCGUCGAUCACGGCGCGAGAUGAUCCAGUAAGUCUCAGCAGCUUCUAUGCGUAUCUCCUUAGUGCUGAACUUCGCCUGGAGCAGCAAAAUUCGUCAGGUGAAAUCCAUCCCUCCGCCAACACCGCUGCUCGUGCCAAUGAUCGCGGCGGCAAUGGUGCACGCGGCGGACAUGGCGGUCAAGGCGGCGGACAUGGCGGACAAGGCGGCGGACAGGGGCGCGGUCGCGGCGGGCGUGGCCGCGGCAACGGCCGCUCCAACCUGAAGUGUCAGGUGUGCAGCAAGUUUGGCCAUGACGCCCUUCACUGCCGCAAUCGUUUCAACCAUGCAUUCCAGCCCGACGAGCAGCGCGAGCGCUCCGGCAACUCCGUCAACACCAACACCGGCUCCGCGGGGUACACCGUGGACAUGGACUGGUACGCUGACACAGGUGCGACCGACCACCUGACCAGCGACCUCGACCGUCUCGGCAUCCACGAGCGCUACGGCGGCAAGGACAAGGUGCAUGCUGCAAACGGGGCAGGUAUGUCUAUCUCCCAUAUCGGACAUUCCAUUUUUUCUGGCUCAUCCAAACCAAUUCACCUUCGCAACAUACUGCAUGUUCCACAUGUUAACAAGCAUCUCCUAUCCGUGCACAAACUUGUUUCUGAUAAUGAUGCUUUUGCUGAAUUUCAUCCUCAUUAUUUCUAUCUUAAGGACCGAGCAACCAAGACAGUUCUUCUUCGCGGUAGAAGUCGCCAUGGCCUUUACCCGGUGCCAAGCCUCAAUAAAUCAUCCAUCGUCGUCCGAAGUCCUCGAGUUCUCUCCGCUGUCAAGCUCUCCCCGGAACUAUGGCAUCGAAGAUUAGGUCACCCUUCAAAAGAAGUCGUUGAGUCAGUCCUUAGAUCAAAUAAAUUCGCUUGUGCACCCUCGCUUCAGUCUAGUAUUUGUGAUGCUUGUCAACGAGCUAAAGUUCAUCAAUUGCCUUUUCGAGAUUCUACUCAUAUUACACAUGAACCACUUGAACUUAUUCAUUCCGAUGUAUGGGGCCCUGCAAUUCGUUCUGCGGGUGGUUUCAAAUAUUAUGUGAGUUUCUUAGAUGACUUUAGUCGUUUUACGUGGAUUUAUCUCCUUAAGCGAAAAUCUGAUGUUGAGCAAGCCUUCUACACCUUUCAAAAACAUGUUGAGCGCAUGUUGAAUACUAAAAUUAAAACUGUUCAAACCGACUGGAGUGGCGAGUAUCGUCGCCUCAACAAAUAUUUUCAAAGGGAAGGGAUCACUCAUCGGGUCUCUUGCCCUCACACGAGCCAACAAAAUGGCAUUGCCGAGCGCAAACAUCGCCAUAUUGUUGAAACGGGUAUCGCUUUGCUUGCUCAUUCAUCUCUUCUGGUUCGUUUUUGGGAUGAGGCAUUUCUUACAACAUGUUAUCUUAUAAAUCGCAUGCCCACACGAGUUCUUCAGAACUCUGCUCCGAUCACUUGCCUUCGCAAUGAACAACCCGACUACACAUUUCUUCGUGCGUUCGGGUGUGCCUGUUGGCCCAACCUUAGGCCAUACAAUAACCGGAAGCUUGAAUUUCGUUCCAUACAGUGCGUAUUCUUGGGCUACAGUUCCAUGCAUAAAGGGUACAAGUGUUUGGAUCGGUCCACAGGACGCAUCUAUAUAUCGCGGGAUGUUGUUUUUGACGAGCUUGUAUUUCCGUUUGAUCAAUCUUCGCAGUCAUCCACCACGUCCCCGCUGUUAUCCACGCCUCCCUCUCUGUUUUCCUUAACCGAGCCAGCUUUAGUGGAUGACCGUAUGCGGCGAUAUGACACGACCUUGCUUGCUAAUCCCGAAUCCAGCUUGUCUCCUGGUUCUGCAGGUUCCGCCCGUUCGACGUCGCCGGAGGAAACGUCCCCAUGUACGCCACGUCACGCCCAUGCAGAUGCGCCCUCGCCCGCUCCAGCGGCUUCCCCGGGCGCGGGCAGCUCGGUCUCUCCAAUGGGCCGGCUUGACUUUUCUCCCGCGCCGGUUGGGGCCGACUCGUCCUCGCCUAACAGCACACCCGCCUCGGCCCAUGGGCCGGCUGCAUCACCGACGCCGCCUGCGUCGCCCCCUCCAGCAGCCGCCGCUCCUGCAGCCGCAGCGCCUGCGGACGCACGGCACCCGAUGACGACCCGUCUUCGACACAACAUCAUCAAGCCGCUCGUCCCGAGCGAUGGCACGGUCCGCUACGAUCCUCGCCGCCGCGCUUUCCACGCCGAGCCGCGCUCCUACCGCGAUGCCCUCGCGAAUGAGCACUGGCGCCCGACCAUGGAGUCUGAAUUUGCUGCCCUGCAGCAGAACCGGACGUGGUCUCUCGUGCCUCGUCCUCCUGGCAAAAAUAUCAUCGGGUGCAAAUGGAUUUUCAAGGUGAAGCACAAGGCUGAUGGCUCUCUGGACAAGUUCAAAGCAAGACUAGUCGCUCGGGGUUUCACUCAGCAACAUGGGCUUGACUACUCUGAAACUUUCUCCCCGGUUGUAAAACCAGCAACUGUGCGUUUGGUGCUGUCCCUCGCUGUCUCCCGCGGCUGGCACUGCCGACAGAUUGAUAUAAGCAACGCUUUUCUGCAUGGUAUUCUCACUGACGAAGCCUACAUGCAACAACCACCCGGUUUUCAGGAUUCAACCAGGCCGGACUAUGUCUGCAAACUGCAUAAAGCGUUGUAUGGUUUGAAACAGUCGCCUCGCGCUUGGUACGCUCGUCUCAGUGAGUGCCUUCAACAACUCGGUUUUUCUCCCUCGGCUGCUGACACGUCCUUGUUCAUCUUUGCUGAUGGGGGUGUGACCGUUUAUAUGCUUGUAUAUGUGGACGAUAUUGUCAUCGUGAGUUCAUCCAGUUCUGCCAUGACAAAGCUGCUUCAGAAGCUCUCUGCGACCUUCCCAGUCAAGGACCUUGGUCCUCUUCGUUACUUUUUCGGUAUUGAAGUACUUCCCAAUUCCGGGGGAAUCAUUCUUACCCAGAAAAAGUACGCCAUGGACUUGCUGCAGCGUACAGAUAUGGCGAAUUGCAAAGCAGUUUCAACACCGAUGUGUACUCACGAGAAGCUCACUCGCGAUGCUGGACAUAAACUGAAUGAGGAUCAAGCGUUCAAGUACAGAAGUACAGUGGGAGCUCUUCAGUAUCUGACUUUGACACGCCCAGACCUCUCAUUUGCAGUAAACAAGGUCUGCCAGUUCUUAUCUUGCCCCACUGAUGUUCAUUGGGAGGCUGUCAAGCGUAUCCUCCGGUUUGUCAAAGGAACAGCGACCACCGGUUUGACUAUUCGUCGAUCAUCAUGCACUCUACUAAGUGUGUUUACUGAUGCUGACUGGGCGGGCUGCAGUGAUGACAGGCGAUCGACAGGAGGGUUUGCUGUGUUUUUCGGCCCUAAUCUUAUAUCUUGGACUGCACGUAAGCAACCCACAGUGUCACGAUCAUCGACAGAAGCGGAGUACAAGGCAUUGGCGAAUGGUACAGCUGAAGCAACAUGGGUGCAAUCAUUACUGAAGGAGCUACGAGUUCCACAACCCCGAGCACCGGUCCUUUGGUGUGAUAAUCUUGGCGCGACGUACCUCACAGCCAAUCCAGUAUUCCAUGCCCGCACCAAGCACAUCGAGGUGGACUUCCAUUUCGUCAGGGAGAAGGUCGCCAUGGGAGCCUUGGAGGUCCGUUUUGUUUCAUCAGCCGAUCAGGUGGCGGACGCCUUCACCAAGCCACUCACAAAGCUGAUGCUAUCACGAUUGCGCUCCAAUCUCAACCUUUCCACAUGAUGAGAUUGCGGGGGAAUGUUAACAAUCGUAUAUUGCUGUGUUAGUUAGAGCUAACAAAUUCAGUACUUAUCCGUGUAUAGACUUAUCAGUACUUAUCCGUGUAUAGACUUAUCCUCUUGUUAGGAUCCUGUAUUCUGUUGUAUCUACAGAUGCGAUCACGCAUUGUCUAUUAUAAAUACACGGCCAACCCUACGGGGAUAAUCACGGCAAAUCAAUCUUUCUGACUGUUCCUAAUUCAUAUAACGUAGAGAGGACGUUAGGAGUGGAAUGGUCAUCACUUAUUGUAGCAGUUUUCUGAAAAAGUAACAUCUUUUCAUGCAGUGACAUUAAUGUGGCCAUUGAGAAUUUGAGAAGUAAUUUUCAGGAAAAGUGUAUCUUUCAUCUUGCAUAAAGAUUGCAUCCUUAACUUCUCUUUCUUUCCAGUUCUACUAAUUUUCUGUUUGGUAGGUGGGUACCAUAUCAUUUUUUUUAUUUAGGAAACAUUAUUUAGGGUUAAGUCUUGGUUGGUGAACUGUUCCUCAGCUAUGAACUCUUUUUUACAUUCACCAAAUGUUAUUGGAACUAUGUAUAGUUCCUCUUGAGCGUGAUUAUUCAACAAUUUAGAACUGUAAAUGAUAUGUUCUUGAAGAAUAUAAAGUAAAAGUAGUUUUGUCAUGUACUUUGGUUUAACCUACAGUGUAAUAUUUGUUAACACAUAGUCUGUGUUUCACUAAUGUGAACUAAGACUUUCAUGUACUGUGUAUGACAGCUGCAUUUGUACCGACUGAUUAUAAUGUGCUUUGCUGCAUUUGUACCGACUGAAUUAUAAUGUGCUUUGCUGCAUUUGUACCGACUGAUUAUAAUGUGCUUUGCUUCUCAUCGCACAACUGAUAAUUUUCUGAAAUACUCACUCUAUUUUAAUCAAGGCGUUGCAGGUGUUGUCACUGUAGGAGGUAAGUUUUGCAGCCAAAAUGCACCACUGAUUGCGUCUGGACAAUCGAGGAAUAGCACAAUAAAUUCUUCUUCUUUUCCAUUAACUUGCAGCUUAGGAUUUGGCUAAUAUUUUGCAUCUUAUACUAUUAUAAUUUUGAUGACUAGUUCUAAUAUAGAAUAGCCUCCUUUUGUCUGUAACAGGUACUUGAUUGUUUGAGUAGCCAUUCGUAGGGUCUGCUUUUUUCUAGUAGUUUCAUGCCAGGUUCUGUAAAGUUCAUUUGAUAAUUUUGCUUGGUAAAUGAAAAGGUUCAUUUUUUUCAAUGACUGAACAAAAACUUGACCACCGACAGUUCUAGUCCUUUACUGUUUGGACUCUACGAUAUUAAUUGACUUCCCUAAACAUGUGUAACCGGCCCUGAUUUAUUGCUUAACUUACUUGGGAAGUGAAACACAAACCAAAGGAACUCUGAAUAAGCAUAGCUCAUAGCUCAGCUCUAAAAUUUUACUGUGCCAAUCUUGAGAUAUCUGCAUGGAGUUCUAUUUCUACAUACUUUUAGUCAUUCUGAAUUUUUCAUAUGACCUUCCUGAAAUUGUGUGCACUUUGUUUUUUCUACAUGAAUCCUCUAUAAUACAUGUACUUGUCAAUUGACUUAAUUUCCUCUUCAGGUUGUCAACGUUGCUGCAAGGCUGGACAAGUCACCUUUUUGAAACCAUUUUGCUUCACUCGUUUUGAAGACCAUAUACAAGUUUCAUUUUUACUUUAUAUUUUAUUGACCAGAAAGGCUACAAAGUACGGGUGCUAAAUUAGAAUGGACUUUUCAUAUGUAGCCAGUAUGUUGCACAUAUCUUACUUGUGGAAAUGAUUUAUUACAAGGGUUGUAAUAUUAUAAAUGUGAAGGACAUAUGUUGAAUUUUCUAUUGUUGGGUAUGAAUGGAUUUGAAUGCUAAGUUGAGAUAUCUGUUUAUGCCUAUGUUUUAAUUCCAGAAUAUGCCCCUAUUUAGCCAUUUUGUUGUUGUUUUGGAAACAUGUACAAAGGCAGAUUUUUUGCCGGGAAAUCCCCUAUCUGCCCUUCAUCACCAGUCUGCCGAGACGAGACCGUGACACCACUACC
rnacentral:lncRNA from 1 species